UGUGGAUUUUGGAUUUCUGUUGGAUUACCUGGUUUUAUUUGGACUUGUUUUUCAGCCACUCUGCCACUGAUAAUUUGCAGAUUGCCAAAGAAUACCUUGAACAGAAUGUUCCUAUGGAAGAUGCCUGGGCUGAGAUCUUUCCUGAAACGGAACUGAAGCGUCUUGAGUGUGCUGCAGAAAAAGAAGAAGAUGCUGAGGUGUUUCAGGUCUGGGUGAUGAGGGGAGAAACACAUAAGCGAGGGCUGGGCGCUUGGAUCUCUCUCUUGUCCACCUUCAUGCCAUGGCAGCAGCAGACCACAGAGACUGCUGCUGAUUUGUAUUUCUUUUGAUUGUUCUUUUUUUUUUCUGAUGGGACUGGUAGUUUAGUUUUCGUGGAUUUAUUUUAUUUGUUUGUUUGUUUAGUUAGGGAUUGGUUUAGGGUAGAGGGGAAGCCUCCAGAUCCUAUGACCCUUUGUGGGCUGGUCUGGAGGGCUUCCCUUUCUUUUGUUCAUUUUGGCUAGCCCAUCAGAUUUGCUAUUUCGUUUGAAUAAAAUUUUUAACUAAUUUCAUGUUUAUUUUAAUAAUCUUGUGUUUUUGGCACAA